AAGUGGAGCAAUCCAUGAGUAAAGUGGCGACCGGGUGAGUAACACGUGACUAACCUACCUUCGAGUGGGGGAUAACCUCGGGAAACCGAGGCUAAUACCGCAUAAUAUCGCAAGAUCAAAGCAGCAAUGCGCUGGAAGAGGGGGUCGCGGCUGAUUAGCUAGUUGGCGGGGUAACGGCCCACCAAGGCGAAGAUCGGUAGCCGGCCUGAGAGGGCGCACGGCCACACUGGAACUGAAACACGGUCCAGACUCCUACGGGAGGCAGCAGUGGGGAAUUUUGCGCAAUGGGGGAAACCCUGACGCAGCAACGCCGCGUGGAGGAUGAAGCCCCUUGGG
rnacentral:rRNA from 1 species